rnacentral:piRNA from 1 species
UAAGACUUCAACUCAGCGACCUCAGAAA